rnacentral:rRNA from 1 species
GGGCUUGCGUCCGAUUAGUUAGUUGGUGGGGUAAUGGCCCACCAAGGCGUAGAUCGGUAGCUGGUCUGAGAGGAUGAUCAGCCACACUGGGACUGAGACACGGCCCAGACUCCUACGGGAGGCAGCAGCAGGGGAUAUUGCGCAAUGGGUGAAAGCCUGACGCAGCAACGCCGCGUGGGGGAUGACGGCCUUCGGGUUGUAAACCCCUUUUCUCAGGGAAGUGACGGUACCUGAGGAAUAAGUCUCGGCUAACUACGUGCCAGCAGCCGCGGUAAGACGUAGGAGGCAAGCGUUAUCCGGAUUUACUGGGCGUAAAGGGCGUGUAGGCGGCUCGUUAAGUCUCUGGUGAAAUCUCCCGGCUCAACCGGGAGGGUGCCGGAGAUACUGGCGGGCUUGAGGGCAGUAGAGGAGAGCGGAAUUCCCGGUGUAGUGAUGAUAUGCGUAGAU